rnacentral:tRNA from 1 species
GCCCCCAUCGUCUAGCCCGGUUAAUCAAUUUGAGCUGAUAGGACACGAGCUUCUCGGGCUUGGAACCUGGGUUCAAAUCCCAGUGGGGGCA